GGCAACAGAAGAUAAAGUUGAAGAGUUGUUUUUCUAUUUAUCAUUUUAUUGGCACAUUAGCCAACACGUGUUAUGUGGGUCGUGACAUUUACACGUGUGUAAGGACGUUUACAUACUGGUUCUUCACACUUGUGGGGGACUUGUUUUUAUUAUAGUCAUUGAUUCCCAUCUGUGAUAUUAAUUGAUAAAACUCUAACUAUAAUUUUAUUUCUAAGUUCAAACUAAG